rnacentral:lncRNA from 1 species
GGUUAUUGUGUGAUGUAUAUAGGCUAACAGGACGUGUGUAUUAACAUGACCCCCCCUCCCUGAGGCUGACGAUGGUUCCGUCCAAACAUUCACCCUUUUAGCGGGAAGUGAAACAUAAAGAAAGACGGAGAAAGUUCUACUGAAAUGAGGUCAUCAAAGGUCAGAGGAAAUAAAAAGCCUCCAGUGAAGAACAGGGUGAACAAGGCCUCCCCUGAUGAACUCUGGAACGUUCCUCACACGUCUGUGACAGACACAGACACUUUGUUGGAGGAAGUGAAGCUGAAGUGUGGUGAGCCCCUCCUACACAGCACAGCCCUGGAGGAUGACCUGAUUAGGUCUGAGGAUGGAGCUGCUGCUGUGGAGGAGCUCAGAGUAGAGUUACCUGUGGAGAAGAAGAAGAGGAGGAGUCAACCUGCUCCUACUGUCAGCACACGAUUGGUUGGAAAGAAAGCAGCCAAUGGGAGGAGAGCAGAACACGCUCUAAAGUCAGCCACCAAUCAGCGAUCAAUGAAGGACAACCAAUCAGGUUCCUCUACCAGAGGCCCUCAGCCAGUGGAGAAAAGCAGAUCAAAACGUGUGAGAUCUGAUGAAGAGGAUGGAGAUGAUGAUGAAGAUCACAGAGAGAAACCCUCCUCAGGAGGAGGUUCCUCAGAGGAGGAGGGGGGAGGAGCAGAGAUGAGGAGGAGGAGGAAGAAGACCUGUGUAUCAGAGUUAGACAGGCUUGUGGAGGCGUUCCAUCACUUCUGUGGCCUCUACAGGAAGGACGUGGAGUCCCCACAAGACCAGCACAACAUCCUCACACUGUGUGAGAACGUCACACAGCUACUGACGGAGAGGGUCUCAGCAUCUCAGGAACUCAGAGCUCUCAAAAGAGGCAACGCUAAGACAGCUUCUAUGAUCCGCUCUAAGAUAAAACGACUGUUGGAUGGAAAACAUGAGCUGAUGAAGGCUGAGGGGCUCCAUCAGCAGCUCCUACAGCAGAGAUCAGAUCUCAGUCAGAGAUUAACACACAUGAGGAGAGGAGCAGCGUUCCUCCAGGACCUCAGAGACAUCACUACUACACACCUGGACCAUGGACACACACACACACACACGUACGGAGCUGAUAGUGUGGCUGCUCUGCUGCUGGAGACCAGGAUCCAUGACAGACCUCCACCACCAGGGGGCGCUCACACCUCUGCAGGAAACCUUCACCUAUAGUCACAUGAUCAGUUCAGCUGAUCAAUAAAACAUGUUAGAGCACUUCCUGUCUGAUUCUC